GACGAACGCUGGCGGCGUGCUUAACACAUGCAAGUCGAACGGAAAGGCCCCUUUGGGGGUACUCGAGUGGCGAACGGGUGAGUAACACGUGAGUAACCUGCCCUUGACUUCGGGAUAACUUCAGGAAACUGGGGCUAAUACCGGAUAGGAAUCCUUGCUGCAUGGUGGGGGUUGGAAAGCUUCGGCGGUUUUGGAUGGACUCGCGGCUUAUCAGCUUGUUGGUGGGGUAGUGGCUUACCAAGGCUUUGACGGGUAGCCGGCCUGAGAGGGCGACCGGCCACAAUUGGACUGAGGUACGGCCCAGACUCCUACGGGAGGCAGCAGUGGGGAAUAUUGCACAAUGGGCGGAAGCCUGGUGCAGCAACGCCGCGUGCGGGAUGACGGCCUUCGGGUUGUAAACCGCUUUCAGCAGGGGCGAAGCUUGUGGUGACGGUACCUGCAGAAGAAGCACCGGCUAACUACGUG
rnacentral:rRNA from 1 species